GGCCGCGGUAUCCCUAACCGUGCGAAGGUAGCGUAAUCACUUAGUUCUUUAAAUGAGGACUAGUAUGAAUGGCACCACGAAGGUCACACUGUCUCCUCUUUCCAAUCAGUGAAACUAAUCUCCCCGUGAAGAAGCGGGGAUGAACAUAUAAGACGAGAAGACCCUAUGGAGCUUUAAACCACACAACACCUGCUUCGACCUAAUUAAAUUCCAGAAGACUCCCCCUCACCCAAGCAGGAUGAUUGCCAGUUUUAGGUUGGGGUGACCACGGAGCAAAAUACAACCUCCACAUUGAAAGGGCAUCUACCCCUUAGCCAAGAGCUACGCCUCCAAGCACCAACAAAAUGACAUUAAUUGACCCAAUAUAUUGAUCAACGAACCAAGUUACCCUAGGGAUAACAGCGCAAUCCACUUCAAGAGCCCCUAUCGACAAGUGGGUUUACGACCUCGAUGUUGGAUCAGGGUAUCCCGGUGGUGCAGCCGCUACCAAAGGUUCGUUUGUUCAACGAUUAAAACCCU
rnacentral:rRNA from 1 species